rnacentral:lncRNA from 10 species
UGGAUCUCUCAUGGUUGGUGUUGUCUUCAUGAUAGUGAGUGAGCUCUCGAGAGAUCUGGCUGUUUAAAAGUGUGUGGCACCUCCCCAACUCUUUCUCUUGCUCCUGCUUUCGCCACGUGAACUGCCUGCUCCUCCUUCACCUUCUGCCAUCGUUGUCAGCUUCCCGAAGCCUCCCCAGAAGCCCAGCAGAUGCUGAGGCCAUGGUUCCUGUACAGCCAGCAGAACCGCGAGCCAGUUAAACCUCUUUCCUUUAUAAAUUACCCAGUCUCAGGUAUUUCUUUAUAGCAGUGCGAAAACUGCCUAAUACACUCUGUGUAAAACUGUUGGUCUGAGGGUCAGACUAGGUCCCUAGUCUUAGACGCAUCAGAAGGCAUUCCUGACAUCUCUUGGGCAUCAGCUCUUUCAGCCCCCUCUGCUUGGACCAAGCAGUGAUGAAGGGAAGAGGAGAGACCACAGCUUGAUGAGUCUUGCUCAGUCCAGGCUGGAGCCCAGUGAUGCAAUCUUCGAUCUUGGCUCCCUGCAACCUUCACCUCCCGGGUCCAAGCGACUCUCGUGCCUCAGCCUCCCGAGUAGCUGGGAUUACAGAUGUGUACCACCACACCUGGCUAAUUUAGAAAAUACGCAUUUAAAGUGCUUGAAAUAGCAGCUAGCAUAGAGAAUCUUUGCAAGAUCAAAUUAGAAGUAUUAUUUGCUGAAAGGCAAUAUUCUCCACUCUAGGCUUGUGAGAGCCGAGCUCCUUGUCUCCCAGGGAGCUUUGGUUUGACUUUCAUCUUGAUAUUGAAUUUAAGCCUCAUAUUUUAUGAUAAAUGUAUGUAGCCCUCAGCCUGCCUGAUAAUAACAACUGCACCUACCAUGGACGUUCUAUUCAGAAGAAGGACUGGGAGUGGUCUCGUCUGAUUACUGGAAUCUGUUGCUAAUUAACUAAAAUCUCCCUCUUGUUUGAGCAGUCCUUCGUGGGAUUCUUCCUAAAGCACAUCUGCUUGCUUUGCUGUCUUGCCUAAGUAAAGAACACCAUUGUGAACAGAAUUGAAUUCCUGGAGGCAGGCGGCUUCCCGUGGUUCUGCAUGGCCUACAGGGCAAUGCUAAGACCAGCAGGUGGAAGCCACAGGGAUCUUAAUAUCAGUUCACUGGGGGAAGAACUUUCUACCAUGGAGAGUUCUCUGAGAAUGGAAAUGCUAGACUGCCUUGGGAGGUGGGUAAUGAGUCCCCUGUUUUUAGGGGAAACUGUCGGUGGAGCUGGGUGAACCCAUGGAAGGGCGUCCUUACCAGUUCGCAUCACCGAAUCAGACAACGUUUAAAUUUAAUGACACUGGCCGGGUGCAGUGGCUCACGCCUAUAAUCCCAGCACUUUGGGAGGAUCACUUGAUGCCAGGAGUUCAAGACCAGUCUGGACAACAUAGUGAGACCCCAUCUCUACAAAAAAGACAACAUUAAAAAAC